rnacentral:rRNA from 1 species
UACGUAGGGGGCGAGCGUUGUCCGGAUUUAUUGGGCGUAAAGAGCGUGUAGGCGGCCAGGUAGGUCUGCUGUGAAAACUCGAGGCUCAACCUCGAGACGUCGGCGGAAACCAUCUGGCUAGAGUCCGGAAGAGGAGAGUGGAAUUCCUGGUGUAGCGGUGGAAUGCGCAGAUAUCAGGAGGAACACCAAUGGCGAAGGCAGCACUCUGGGACGUGACUGACGCUGAGACGCGAAAGCGUGGGGAGCAAACAGG